AUUGAACGCUGGCGGCAUGCCUAACACAUGCAAGUCGAGCGGAUGAAGGGAGCUUUCUCCUGGAUUCAGCGGCGGACGGGUGAGUAAUGCCUAGGAAUCUGCCUGGCAUUGGGGUAUAACGUCCUGAAACGGGCGCUAAUACCGCAUACGUCCUGAGGGAGAAAGUGGGGGAUCGUCGGACCUCACGCUAUCAGAUGAGCCUAGGUCGGAUUAGCUAGUUGGUGGGGUAAAGGCCUACCAAGGCGACGAUCCGUAACUGGUCUGAGAGGAUGAUCAGUCACACUGGAACUGAGACACGGUCCAGACUCCUACGGGAGGCAGCAGUGGGGAAUAUUGGACAAUGGGCGAAAGCCUGAUCCAGCCAUGCCGCGUGUGUGAAGAAGGUCUUCGGAUUGUAAAGCACUUUAAGUUGGGAGGAAGGGCAGUAAGUUAAUACCUUGCUGUUUUGACGUUACCAACAGAAUAAGCACCGGCUAACUUCGUG
rnacentral:rRNA from 1 species